rnacentral:tRNA from 1 species
GCCGGGGUCACCUAGCCUGGCUUCAUGGUGCCAGACUCAUAAUCUGGUUACCCGGGUUCGAAUCCCGGCCCCGGCA